rnacentral:rRNA from 1 species
CGAGGUAACCUGCCUGGUAGCGGGGGGUAACUAUUGGAAACGAUAGCUAAUACCGCAUAACAGUCGACAUUGCAUGAUGUUGAUUUGAAAGGGGCAAUUGCUCCACUACCAGAUGGACCUGCGUUGUAUUAGCUAGUUGGUGAGGUAACGGCUCACCAAGGCGACGAUACAUAGCCGACCUGAGAGGGUGAUCGGCCACACUGGGACUGAGACACGGCCCAG